rnacentral:rRNA from 1 species
UACGUAGGGUGCAAGCGUUGUCCGGAAUUAUUGGGCGUAAAGAGCUCGUAGGCGGUUCGUCGCGUCGGCUGUGAAAUCCCGGAGCUCAACUCCGGGUCUGCAGUCGAUACGGGCGGACUCGAGUUCGGCAGGGGAGACUGGAAUUCCUGGUGUAGCGGUGAAAUGCGCAGAUAUCAGGAGGAACACCGGUGGCGGAGGCGGGUCUCUGGGCCGAUACUGACGCUGAGGAGCGAAAGCCAGGGGAGCAAACGGG